UACAGAGGUCUCAAGCGUUGUUCGGAUUCAUUGGGCGUAAAGGGUGUGUAGGUGGCGCCGUAAGUCGGGUGUGAAAUUUUAGAGCUUAACUCUGAAACUGCAUUCGAUACUGCGGUGCUUGAGGACUGGAGAGGAGACUGGAAUUUACGGUGUAGCAGUGAAAUGCGUAGAUACUGGGAGGAACACCGGUGGCGAAGGCGGCUACCUGGACCGGAACUGACGCUGAGGCGCGACAGCGUGGGGAGCAAACAGG
rnacentral:rRNA from 1 species